UGCUACAUUCAGUCAGAACAUUGUACAGCCGCUGCUAUCUUUCCCGCUAAAACCAAUGUUUAUCCAGAGGAACUGUGCAAAAAUCGGUGGAAGAGCCUGAGGGACAAGUACACCAAGGAGUUCAGGAAGGAGCAAGAGAGGAGGAAGAAGAGUGGUUCAGAGGCAGGGUCAGCCAAGGGGUGGAAAUACCGAGCUGUUUUAUCCUUCCUCGACCCCCACAUCGCCCCACGGGAGACGUCAGGCAACAUGCUGUUGCCAAGGGUCGAGGAAGAGGAGGAAGCAGGGUAUGACCACCCAGAAGAGCCACAGGAAGAAGCAGGAGCAGGGAUGUCAGAACUUGCUGACAUAGGACCUGGGACAGAACCAUCCUCUUCUAACCCAGAGUCACCUGUGCCUGCUGCUGCUGCUUCUUCUGCCUCUUCUGCGCAGGCUGGCCCUUCAUCUGCUCCUACACCUUCAGGGCCACCUCGUAAGAGGCAAAGAAGAAGGCUCCAGGACCGCUCAGAGCCAUCAGCGUUUGAGCGGGAGUUGCUGGCAGAACUGAGGAAACCUUACUCAGAAGAUGAGCACUUCCUCCUCUCUCUGCUUCCUCUCCUGCAAAAAGUGCCGCCUCAAUCAAAAGAUUUUGUCAAAUUUCAAAUACACAAACUAUUAUAUGAAAGCAGCACUUUUAUGCUAAAUUUGGAACAAUUGGAGCCAACUCAGUAAUUUGACCUGAAUGAGGUGACACUUUUUGCAGGAGAGGAACCAGACUCCGGUGUGUCCCUCCUCUUCCACCGCACCUCCUCCAAU